ACCGGGACUCGGGAGGCAGAAGCAAGGCACGGGUCCCCUUUCUCCUCUCCUCCACCAAACCACCGCAGCCCAGCGCGUGAAGCUUCCCUUUGUUCAUCCGAGGCUCGCUUUCCUCCCCGGCAGAUCCACCUGGAUGCUCUCCCUCGAGCAGCGCGGGGAGCCCGGGGAGAUGCAGGACCACCCACUGGCGGGGAAGCAGCUAGCAGCCCUCCCGCGCCCCCGCGCUGCCGAGCGCCUUCUGCCUCCGCGCUCGGACCAGAGCCCGUGCCGGCCCCGGCCCCGGCCCCGCCGCGCCGCCGCCGCCCUCCCGGCCGCCCCGCAGCCCCGCCGCCCCGCCGCCCCGCACCGCGCUGGCCAGGUCCCCGCGACAGUGGCCCCGCAGUAAGUUGGCAGGAGCGAGUCCCCUCCGUUCUCGCCUCCCCCGCACCUUUUGAACUUGUUGCUGCUGCUCUGCUCGCCUGCGCCUGGCUUUUGGAAGGUGAAAAGGAGGAGGGAGGAACGGAGGGAUGGGGGAAGGGGGAGAAGAGCUCGCUUGAGCUUUAUUUAUGCUCCCUCGGCGCAUCGGAUUCGGCUGCUCGCGAGCUGCUUUCUCUCCUCUUCCCUUUCCGGGUGCACGGCGAGGAGAAAGUCUCUAUGCAACUCAGCCCCGGCGCGCGCUUGGCCAGGUAUGUACUGCGGGCGCGGCGCGUUCUGCGCGGAAGCAGAUGCUGCUGCCGCCACGGCGGCGGCGGCUGCCAGCUCCUGGGCUCUGUAACUGUCACACUGCACCUGAGCUGAACUUGAAAAGAGAGUGAAGGGGCGACUGGGCGAACGCUUUUGGCAGACACAGAGGGUGUUUGUAGACGUGGGGGAGGAGGAUCUGUAUUAACGCCCCCCACCGUACCCACUGCACAUCACCUCCAUCUCUGCAAAUACAGCCCGAGGAGUAGAGGCAGCAGCAGCUGGACCCCCAAAGAGAGACGUGGGGCAGCGGCUGUGACCGUAUCUCCUGAGCUACAACAACAGGUCGCCUUGUUGAGACUCCUUUGGCGGGAAGGGCUACUUGAAAAGGAAGGUUUGAAAGAGUGAGAAGGGUAGGUGGAAGGAUUCCCUAAUUCGUCGAAAUAAUUCUAUUGGGUGACUCUCGUUCGUCUUCUCUAUCCUACACUCCACAUACUGACCCCAUAUUAUCCAGACUGUGCCAGGGGAGAAAUCAAAGACACCUGUUUGAAGAAACGACUGCACCUGUGUGCUUAUUUGUGCCAGAGGGUGGCCUGGCCCACCUGCUGGAAGCGGUUUGGCUAGGUUCUGUUGGGGGCGAUUGUUAAGACGUUGUAUUUUGUUGUCAUUACUCCAAACACCUGUCUUGGAGGGAAACUUGCCCUUCUGAGAACUGUGACUUUACCAGAAGCCCUAUCUCGGAAUAAGAGUGACACCUCUGGACCACGUUUCUCUCUAGUACUUUGCUUGACUGGAGGAAGUGGGUGAGUUGUGGCUGCUUCGGUUGACCCAUUGUAGACGCCUCGUCACCCUUCU
rnacentral:lncRNA from 1 species